UACUCAACUUCCCUUGAAAUUUGAUUAUGCAGGGUCCAUGCCUAAGCAAAGUGCUAUUAGAACACGUAUAGUUGUAAUGGCUGGCCAAGAAGGCCCUACAAUUACAAGAACAAAAAGAAAAAGUGCUACUCAACAUGGUGGUUCGACAUUGCUUGAUCUUCUGCAGGCUCUAGAAGAUUAUUUUCCGGUUCUUUUGGGGUUAGUCAAUGAUGGAAGCCAUUUACAAUAUAAAGUAUAAUUUGUUUGGGUGAAUCAAGAGGAUGAUGCUGAGGCUAAUUUUUUACUGCUUCCAAGAUCAUCCACUGAUGGUUAUCAGCUUAAGGUAUCUGAAGAAAGCAGACGAGCUUCUGUUGAUAUCUUCUUAAAGGCUGCUGGAUAUCUGGAUUGUGCUGUCAAACAUGUUCUUCCCCAGUUGCCGGCCGAACUCAGGAGGAAUUUACCAGUAGACUUAAUUAGCAGAAGGAACGCUUCGAGCACUCUCUCUACAGGCAUUAGAAUAUUGGCCAAGUGUAAUUUGUGACAUUCAUGUAACAUUGAGAUGGUCAUCUUAUUUUUUUUGGGUAUUUUUUUAUUAAGACAAUGAGAUAUUGGCCAAUGAUGUUGAAAAAUAACAUCCAAUUUUAUAGGUAUCAUGUAAUGAAUAUUAUGUUUAUUUAUGUGAUUUUUGGCUUUCUUUUUUCAA